UUAUAUGCCCUAGGCGUGAAACAGCUUUGGUCCCCAAGCUAGGCACCAAACUAGGAUGACCAAAGGACUGCCAUCUGCCCCACCUUGACUGAUAGAAGACACCACCACCAAGGGGGUCUCUUUGCCCAUUACCAGGGUGUGGAUGUGACAUUUUUUUUAAAUUUUAGAGUUCUUCCUAUUGUUUAUGGCUUUUCUUUUGUGUUUGCUUGUGUUUGUAGUAUAUUCACAUAUAUCUGUAUACAUGUUUACAUAGGUGUGGACACACUUGUGUGCAGAGACCCAUGUAUGUGUGUGCAUGGAGACACCAGAGGUUGAUGUCAGGUGUCCUCCUUGAUCCAUCUCCACCUUGUAUUUUAUGGUCUCCUUUGGAUCCAGAGCUCACCAACUGGGCUUCCAGCAGAAAGAAUGGCCCAGAUUAAAGGUGCGCCUUCCAGCCUCAAGAUCCAGAUCAAAGGCAUGUUGUCUUCCUGCCUCAAGAUCCUGGAUCACAAGUGUGCCCUGCAUUUCUGGACUGUAGUUCAUUCCAGAGACAGUCAAGCCAACAACCAGGAAGAGCUAUCGCAAUCACUUAUUGAGGAAGAGGAGGAGAGAGGAGGAAGGAGUCUUCGGUGACUGCCUGCAUGUUGGGCGGGGGCUCCAGGGAUGCAGCUUUUGUGGACCUUAUGAUGGCACAGCUGACUCUGAGUCUCCAUUUAUUUAAUCUGUCCACACUAUCUGGGUGAAUGGAUAUUUGUUUAUAGCCCCCCAAAAGUGCUGCAGCACCCACCACUCCUGGCUGGCUGCAUGACUUUAACAAGUUUGCUGUAAACAGAAUUUGUUUGGUUUGUUUAGACAGGAAACUGCCUGGCUUUUUUUUUGUUUCCUCAGUAAGGCUAGAGAGCCACCUCCGGCUCUUCCUCUCCUGUAUCCAGUUGACCUGCCCAGUCGGAGGCUAACAGAGAAGAUGCCACUCAUUUG